GCUAUAUCAUGGCCACAGUGAGAAAUUAAAAUGGCAACAAGUCUCAGACGUCUGGCACACUGCUGCAGUUGGCAUCAGGGUCUCUUCAUCUUCCUGAUAUAUGGGGUGUACAACACAGAGGGGGAAUCUUUUCAAGGCACCCUAUUCAGGCUAAAUGUAAAACUUUCAAAAUGCCUUGGCCUUGAAGUGCACAGAGAUACAUGAGGAUGGAUACAUCAGCGGAAAAUGGUUUAAAAAUAUGUCAGUGUAAGUCCCCCCACCCCACCCUAGCCAAGUAGAUUGUAAGUCUGCCGGUUUAUCAACAAAUAAAGAUACAAUAUUGUU